GACGAACGCUGGCGGCGUGCUUAACACAUGCAAGUCGAACGGAAAGGCCCUGCUUUUGUGGGGUGCUCGAGUGGCGAACGGGUGAGUAACACGUGAGUAACCUGCCCUUGACUUUGGGAUAACUUCAGGAAACUGGGGCUACUACCGGAUAGGAGCUCCUGCUGCAUGGUGGGGGUUGGAAAGUUUCGGCGGUUGGGGAUGGACUCGCGGCUUAUCCGCUUGUUGGUGGGGUAGUGGCUUACCAAGGCUUUGACGGGUAGCCGGCCUGAGAGGGUGACCGGCGACAUUGGGACUGAGAUACGGCCCAGACUCCUACGGGAGGCAGCAGUGGGGAAUAUUGCACAAUGGGCGGAAGCCUGAUGCAGCAACGCCGCGGGCGGGAUGACGGCCUUCGGGUUGUAAACCGCUUUCGCCUGUGACGAAGCGUGAGUGACGGUAAUGUGUAAAGAAGCACCGGCUAACUACGUG
rnacentral:rRNA from 1 species